GACGAAGUAGUUUAAGUAAAAAUAGCAGGGUGUGGUUCUGUUGAUAGUUGUACCUCUUCGUUA
rnacentral:tRNA from 1 species